rnacentral:rRNA from 1 species
AUUGAACGCUGGCGGCAUGCUUUACACAUGCAAGUCGAACGGUAACAGGGAGCUUGCUCCGCUGACGAGUGACGAACGGGUGAGUAAUGCGUCGGAACGUGCCGAGUAGUGGGGGAUAACGCAUCGAAAGGUGUGCUAAUACCGCAUACGUACUGAGGUAGAAAGUGGGGGACCUUCGGGCCUCACGCUAUUCGAGCGGCCGGCGUCUGAUUAGCUAGUUGGUGAGGUAAAGGCUCACCAAGGCGACGAUCAGUAGCGGGUCUGAGAGGAUGAUCCGCCACACUGGGACUGAGACACGGCCCAGACUCCUACGGGAGGCAGCAGUGGGGAAUUUUGGACAAUGGGCGCAAGCCUGAUCCAGCCAUGCCGCGUGUCUGAAGAAGGCCUUCGGGUUGUAAAGGACUUUUGUCCGGGAGCAAAUGCUGGUGGCUAACAUCCACCGGAGCUGAGAGUACCGGAAGAAUAAGCACCGGCUAACUACGUGCCAGCCGCCGCAGUAAGAC